CAAAAGGGCUUGGUGGUCUGGGCCAGUGGGCGUUCUCUUCAGGGCUGUCGGGAGUGCUUUUGGGUUUCAUUUGCCUGAGUUAAGAGUUUAAUAGGUCCAAGGUCCUGGCAUAAACAGCCACUCAGGAAGAAUACUCAGCAAAAAGCCAUCUCUUCCCAUCCCCCCACCAAAAAAAAAGAAUUAAAAAUUCUCAUGGAAUAAAAUACCAAAAUAGUA